rnacentral:rRNA from 1 species
UAGUCCACGCCCUAAACGAUGGAUGCUAGGUUUGCGGGGUAUCGACCCCCUGUGAGCCGUAGGUAACCCGUUAAGCAUCCCGCCUGGGGACUACGACCGCAAGGUUAAAACUCAAAGGAAUUGACGGGGGCUCACACAAGCGGUGGAGGAUGUGGCUUAAUUCGAGGAUACGCGAAGAACCUUACCUAGACUUAACAUGCUUGGGAACGUCUGUGAAAGCAGAAAGUGCCUUUCGGGGAACCCUUGCGUAGGUGCUGCAUGGCUGUCGUCAGCUCGUGUCGUGAGAUGUCGGGUUAAGUCCCUUAACGAGCGAAACCCUUAUCCUUAGUUGCCAGCACGUAAUGGUGGGGACUCUAAGGAGACUGCCGGUGUUAAACCGGGGGAAGUGGGGAUGACGUCAAGUCCUCAUGGCCUUUAUGUCUAGGGGCUGGCACACGUCCUACAAUGCAACGUACAAAGCGAUGCUAACUCGUGAGAGCACGCAAACCGCAUAAAGCGUUGCCCAGUUCGGGAUUGCAGGGCUGAAUUCG